GAUGAACGCUGGCGGCGUGCCUAAUACAUGCAAGUCGAGCGAACAGACGAGGAGCUUGCUCCUCUGACGUUAGCGGCGGACGGGUGAGUAACACGUGGAUAACCUACCUAUAAGACUGGGAUAACUUCGGGAAACCGGAGCUAAUACCGGAUAAUAUAUUGAACCGCAUGGUUCAAUAGUGAAAGACGGUUUUGCUGUCACUUAUAUAUGUAUCCGCGCCGCAUUAGCUAGUUGGUAAGGUAACGGCUUACCAAGGCGACGAUGCGUAGCCGACCUGAGAGGGUGAUCGGCCACACUGGAACUGAGACACGGUCCAGACUCCUACGGGAGGCAGCAGUAGGGAAUCUUCCGCAAUGGGCGAAAGCCUGACGGAGCAACGCCGCGUGAGUGAUGAAGGUCUUCGGAUCGUAAAACUCUGUUAUUAGGGAAGAACAAAUGUGUAAGUAACUAUGCACGUCUUGACGGUACCUAAUCAGAAAGCCACGGCUAACUACGUG
rnacentral:rRNA from 1 species